rnacentral:rRNA from 1 species
UGCCUCAGUAACGGCGAGUGAAGCGGCAAAAGCUCAAAUUUGAAAUCUGGCUCUUUUAGGGUCCGAGUUGUAAUUUGUAGAAGAUGUUUCGGGUGUGGCUCCGGUUUAAGUUCUUUGGAAUAUUACAUCAUAGAGGGUGAGAAUCCCGUAUGUGACCGGCAGCCUUCGCCUAUGUGAAACUCUUUCGACGAAGUUCGAGUUGUUUGGGAAUGCAGCUUCAAAAUGGGAGGUAUAUUUCUUCUAAAGCUAAAUAUUGGCCAGAGACCGAUAGCGCACAAAGUAGAGUGAUCGAAAGAUGAAAAGCACUUUGGAAAGAGAAGUUAAACAGUACGUGAAAUUGUUGAAAGGGAAAGCGCUUGCAACCAGACCUUGCACGCAGUUGAAUCAUCCGGUGUUCUCACCGGGGGCACUCUGCUGCGUUCAGGGCCAGCAUCGGUUUUGGUGGUUGGAUAAAGGCCUUGGGAAUGUGGCUUCCUUCGGGGGAGUGUUAUAGCCCUCGGUGCAAUGCAGCCUACCGGGACCGAGGACCGCGCUUCGGCUAGGAUGCUGGCGUAAUGGUUGUAAGCGACCCGUCUUGAAACACGGACCAAGGAGUCUAACAUCUAUGCGAGUGUUUGGGUGUUAAACCCAUACGCGUAAUGAAAGUGAACGGAGGUGAGAACCCUUAAGGGUGCAUCAUCGACCGGUCCUGAUGUCUUCGGAUGGAUCUGAGUAAGAGCAUAGCUGUUGGGACCCGAAAGAUGGUGAACUAUGCGUGAAUAGGGUGAAGCCAGAGGAAACUCUGGUGGAGGCUCGCAGCGGUUCUGACGUGCAAAUCGAUCGUCAAAUUUGCGCAUAGGGGCGAAAGACUUAUCGAACCAUUAAGGAAAUAACUACUAGGUGGUUAAGAGGCCAUAGUACGGGCCUAGUCCUUCACCGAGGGGCGACAUUGUCAAAUUGUUCGGGGACCUCCUGAAUAACUCUCAGACUACCGCAGCCUGCCCGAAAGGGAGGUGCGCACCGGGUUAACGACCCUGGGGAUGGUAAUAACGUCUGAGUAGGGAUGAUCCGCAGCCAAGUCCUACCGCCCCCCGGGGCCACGGAUGCAGUUCACAGACUUGAAGGCAGUGGGCUCUUUUAGAGCUUAAGAUAAAUUCGACCCCCCAGGAGACAGGGUAGGGGGAGGAGAGUGCGAUGCAUCCAGAUGCUCUAGGAUGCUGCGAGC